rnacentral:tRNA from 1 species
GCUCAUCUGUAAAUCAUAAUGCAAUUGACUGCAGAUCAAUAGGUCACCGGUUCGAACCCGGUUGGGC